AAAAUCCGUUGGCUUUAUUGACCGUGAGGGUUCAAGUCCCUCUACCCCCACGCGCGAAACUAUAAUUUUUUAUUGACAUAAACUGGAAGUUUAUGUUAGGAUAAGCCAAUCAAAAAA
rnacentral:tRNA from 1 species